rnacentral:lncRNA from 1 species
CCCGGAUAUCGCUUGGGUCAUCUAGGCUUGAUUUUAGCCGGAUCUCAAAUUCAGCAAACGUACAAAGAAAAAAACAGACAAUGACAAAUAUUUUCGGAUUGAAUAAAAAUGAUAAAUACAUACAGAGCAUGAUCCAUAAAACUAACCCCAUCAUCAAAAUAAGUUCUAGGAUUGGACCUGAAAGAGUUGAAAACAAUAUCAGAUUAAUCCAAGAAGAAGAAAAGAAAGAGAAGAAAGGGUCGGAGUGUUCAGUUCUCGAGGGUAUGACCAAGAACAGCGGUCAC